rnacentral:lncRNA from 1 species
GUUGGUGUAUUCUUUUAGUUUUUGUUUGUUGGAAAAAAUGUUUAUUUCCCCUUCUAUUUUAAAUGAUAUUCUUGCUGGAUAGAGUAUUCUAGGUUGCAUAUUUUUUUCCUUUUAGCACUUUAAAUAUCUCUUGCCAUUCCCUCCUGGCCUGUAGUGUUUCUGUAGAGAAAACAGCUGAUAAUCUUAUGGGGGUUCCCUUGUAGGUAACAUUCUGUUUUUCUCUUGUUGCCUUUAGAAUCCUCUCUUUAUCACUACCUUUUGCCAUUUGUAUUAUGAUGUGUCUUGGUGUGGGUCUGUUUGGGUUCAGUUUGUUUGGGGCCCUCUGUGCUUCUUGUAUCUUGAAUCCAGUAUCCUUUAGAUUUGGGAAGUUUCCAGCGAUAAUUUCUUCAAAUAUAUUUUCCAUUCCCUUAUCUUUUUCUACUCCUUCUGGAAUUCCUAUUAUGCGUAGAUUGGCCCGCUUUAUAUUAUCCCAUAGGUCUCUUAUAUUGCUUUCCAGUUUUUUGAUUCGGUUUUCUGUCUGUUGACCAGAUUGAGUGAUUUCCAUUAUUCUAUCUUCCAUAUCACUGAUUCGUUCUUCUGCAUUAUUCAUUCUGGUUUUUACUGCCCCUAGUUCAGUUUGCAUCUCUGCAAAUGAAUGUUCUAGUUUUUCUUGGCUCCUCCUUAUAUUUUCUAGUUCCUUUCUGAGGGUAUCUGCAUUACUGUUCAUAUCUUCUCUUAAUUCCUUCAGUAUUUUCACUAUUUCUCUUUUGAACUCCAGGUCUGUCAGACUGCAGAGAUCUGUUUCAUUGUUGACUGUUUUAGGUGAGUUCUCCUGUUGGUUUGCCUGGGGAUGGUUUCUCAGCUUCAUCCUCUUGCUUGUUGUUUUCUUUCUCCUGAGGGAGUUGUACUCUCCGUUAUUGGGCAGUGUUUGCCUUGUCACUGCCGUGGAAUAUUUCCUGAGGGCUGGCGUUGUUGGUCAGUCUUUUUUGAGGCAGUGUGGCUUUUCUGGAGUGUUGAUGGGGCUAACAGGGUCUCUUUGAAGCAAAGGAGGACUUCCUGAGGGCAGACAGGACUGGGAAGUCCACACCACGAUGGUAGCAGAUUUCACUCGGUCAGGCAGAGCUUGCUCUAGUGUUUUUAGGCUGUGGGGUUCUUGCAGGGGGUUGGUGGUGUUGGGCAGCUAUUCCUCAGGACUGCAGCACCCCCCGGGGGCUGGAGCAGCUCUCUGGGUCACUGAGAACCUAAGAGGCUCUUCCCUAGGGCAGCCCAACUCAGAAGGGCGACCUGAGAAUGUAAGCAGAUCUUUUCACAGUCUGGCCAAGCUUGUUGUAGCUUUUCUGGGCUGCAGGGGCUCCUCCAGGGGGCUGGUGGUGUUGAGCAGCUAUUCCAUGGGAGUGGGGCACCCCCUGAGGGCUUUUGUGGCUAGCAGGGCCACUGAAAACCCAAGAGGCUCCUCCCCAGGGAAGCCCAACUCAGAAAGACCAUCUGAGAUAUUUUCAUGGCCCAGCCAGGCUUGUUGCAGCUUUUCUGGUCUGCAGGAAGUCCUGCCUGGAGCUGACACUCCUAUGCAGCUGAUCCACUAUAGCGUGGCACCCUCUGGGGGCUUGGGUGGCUAGCUGGGCCACUGCCAACCCAAGAGGCUCCUCCCCAGGGCAGCCCGACUCAGAAAGACCAUCCGAGAAUUAGGCUGAUGUUUUCACGGCCCGGCCAGGCUUGUUGCAGUUUUUCUGGGCUGCAGGGGGUCUUGCCUGGAGCUGGCAGUCCUAUGCAGCUGAUCUGGUAGAGCUCGGCACCCCCUGGGGGAUUGGGCGGCUAGCAGGGCUGCUGAAUACCCAAGAGGCUCCUCCCAGGGCAGCCCGACUCAGAAAGACCAUCUGAGAUCUUUUCAUGGCUCGGCCAGGCUUGUUGCAGAUUUUCUGGGCUUCAGGGGGUCCUUCCUGGAGCUGGCAGUCCUAUGUAGCUGAUCCACUAUAGCUAGGCACCCCCUGGGGGUUUGGGUAGCUAGCAGGGCUGCUAAAUACUCAAGAGGCUCCUCCCCAGGGCAGCCCGACUCAGAAAGACCAUCCGAGAAUUAGGCUGAUCUUUUCACGGCCUGGCUAGGCUUGUUCUAGCUUUUCUGGGCUGCAGGCCUUUUCUCGGGGGCUGGUGGUGUUUGGUGCUGCUCUGCAGAGGUGUAGCUCCUCCAAAGGGCAAGCAGGCCUGUGCAGGGACAGCCCCUGCAGUGGUAGGCUUCAGGCAAUUGUUGGGGCCAGCCCUCCCGGAUGGCAGGCAGCCCCAGGUCCGGUGAGAGCGUAGGGGGUGGUGGGGGUGAGGGGAGGGGAUGCACUGGGAAGCACAGCUUUCUGCUAGCUAGUGAGCCUGUAAGCUUGCUGUGGCAUGGGGAGUAUUCUCUGGGGACCCACCGCUUCUUCUCUCCCCUCCCCAGCAUGGGCGCAGACCAGGCUCUUCUCCCAGGUUCCCUCUGAGGCGGCUUUCCACUUCCCCGCCCCUAGAGUAUUGCUCCCUUCCUCUGCGACAGCUUUGUUUUCUAGUCUCCCAGGCAGUCUCUGCCCUGUCAAACUUGACAGACCGGUUUCUAGACCUCCCAAGCAGUCUCUGCUCCGCCCCGCCCCCCCCAGCCCUUUCCUGGGGACUAACCUCUGGAGCCGAGGACUCAGUGCCCAGCCCCCACCCAGGCGUCUCAAUUUUUGGUGACUGUGCCUGUAGUUCAGAUGGUCCGUUUGGUUCUUGAUCGGCUUUUCAGUACUCCAACUUACUGCUACACUCUUCUCUGCAUCUGUAGAUUCCUCCGGUUCGUUUGAUCUUUCCUCUGAGUAGGUGACUUUCCAGGGUGCGGGAUCCCUUUCUCCUCCUCAGUUCCCUCUCGGGAGCGCCCGUUCAGCUCGGAUUCACCUUCUCUCACUCUUCUCUUUUCUCUUGUUUUGCCUAGCAAUGUCACGAACUUCUUGCCGUUAUUGGAGUUUAGGUUCUUCUGCCAGCGAUUGGUUGCUGUUCUGUGCGAGUUAUUUGUUCUGUGAAUGUGCUUUUUUUGUUGUGUUUGUGGGAGAGGGCAAGCAUGUCCCCCUACACUUCUGCCAUCUUGUCUCGACCCAGCUCUGCUCAUGUUUCUAAUUAGUGUCCUUUCGUUCUGGCUUGCAGAACUCUCUUUAGCAUUUCCUGUAAAGUGGUUCUAGCUCUAUGAUAUGAUGAACUCCCUCAGCAUAUCUUUACCUGGGAAAGUCUAUCUCAUAAUAAUUUCUAAAGGGCAAGUCUCCAGGGUAAAAUGUUCUUGGUUGGCCUUUUUUUUUUUUUUUUUUCCUUUUUAGCACUUUGAGUGCUGCAAAAGGUGCUGGGCCUACAAGGUUUCACUGAGAAAUCUUUUGAUAGCCUUAUUAGAAUUUCUUUUUAUGUGAUGACUAUUUUCUCUUGCUGAACUCAAAAUUCUCUUUGGCUUUGAUUUUUUAGAGAUUCAUUUUAAGCUGUCUUGGAGUUAAAUCUCUCUAGAGAGCUUUGAAGUUCAUGUACCUGAAUGGCCAUAUUUCUCCCAAGAUUUAGGAAGUUUCCAGCCAUUAUUUAAGGCUCCUUUCCCUUUUUCUCUCUUUGCUUCUUCUGCUAUUCCCACAAUGCAAUAUUGUUUUGUUUGAUGGUAUCAUAGAAUUCAUAUAGACUUCAUUAUUUUCAUUCUAAUUUUAUUUGCCUCUGACUAGAAAAUAUCAACAGAUCUGUCUUCAAAUUCACAGAUUCUUUCUUCUGCCUAAUUGGACCAGCUAUUGAAGCUUCAGUAGUAUUUUUCAUUUCACUAAUUAAAUUCUCCAGCUUCAGAAUUUCUGCUUUAUUCUGAUUUAUCUUUGUUGAACUUCUCAUUUUGUUCAUGUAUUAUUUUCCUGAGUUAUUGAUUUUGGUGAUUUCUUGACUCUCACUGAAACUUCUUAAAAUAAGUAUUUUGAAUUAUUUUUCAGAUAACUCAGAAGUCUGUAUUUCUUUGGAGUCAGUUACUAGAGAAAGGACUCAUUAUGUAUAGUUUAAAGAACAGACUUUUUUUAAGGGACCACAGAAAUUCACACAGGUCAAAUUUUAACAAGAGAAAACAAGGAAUAGGUCUGCCAAUCUUCCCAUUAUCCCCUACCAAAGUAUCAUAGCACCAAAGCUUUUCUGAGCCCUUAGUAUAAUAAUGUCCUCCUCCUUUGGAACUGCUAUUUCCUGUUGUUCUCCUUUUCCAUGGAACAUGUGAGGAGAGCAGUCUUGUCUGUGGAGGAAUAUUUGGAAAGCUUAGUUCCAGACCAAACCCAAAAUUGGAGUUGCCAUCACUUGGAAAACUUGCAGCUAAUUUAUUUUGAGCAGAGUGGCAUAAUGUGACUCAUUGGGUGACACAGAGAACUGUUUGAGUAGUACUUAUAAAGGCAGGGAGAACAGUUGACAUUUGGUACAGAUGAAAAAUAAUGAUGAUAGCUUGGAUCAUGAAGGUGGCAGUGGAAAUGGUGAAAGGUGAUCAUGUUGCAGAUAAAUUAUGAAUACGUAAAUGACUAAAGCUUGUUGACAAUGCAAUGUGGAGAAGGAAAGAGGAGAAUGUAAGAUGACUACCAGAUUUGUGUUCUAAUGAACUGGAAAAAUGGAUUCCCCCUGAUUUGAUGUGGAUUUCUUUUGGGGAGAGAAGUUGGAGGGGAUUGAUCAACACUGCUUUGAUAUAUCUUUUCACUGUACUUAUGCAUUAAAUCUUACAAAGUCCUGGGAAGGGAAUUCUGUGAUCACAUUAAGGAAGGAAUUUGGAGAGAAAUCAUUAUGAUUUUAUCUGUGUUAAUUACCAUUGGUUAUUAUCAACUGUAUGUAUGUAAAAAAAAAUCACUGAGGGUAUUCAGUUUACUGUUUCUAAGCCACCACAUUGUAGAAUAUCCUUUUAUUAGGUACCAUCAGACUGGUAGUAUAGACGUUAAGAGUGCUAGUACUGAAAUCAGGACUUCAACAAUUCUAGUUUACUGUCAUACAUUGAACAAGUUUUUGAACAGAUUUGGUCUCAUCUUCCUCACUAUGGUAAUAAAAAUUAAACUAUAAUUUCCAGUACUAGUAUAAAAUAAUGUGUAUUAUAUCCUCAAUAGAGUGUCGGGCACUAAGUACUCAAUAAAUACUAACUUUUAAUUUAUGAAAUUUUACUAUAUUUUUCAAACUGUAACAUAAAUUUCCUUUUAUAGAGUAAAUCACUAUAUUUUAAUAAAUAUAGAAGGUUUAGUAUUCUAUUAUUGUUUUCAUUUUAAAGGCAACCUUAUGUUGGUUCUAUCAUUUCAAAUUCUGUCCGUAAUAUUUUUCUUACUUAAGCAUAAAUUAAGAAAACUCAAUAGCCAUAAAAUCUAUGUAAAAAUAAAACAAACAAUUUUUUCAUCUUUAUUGAGGUAUAAUUGACAAAUAAGAAUUGUGUAUAUUUAAAGUGUGGAACUUGAUGGUCUGACAUGUACACAUUGUGAAUUAAUCACCACAAUCAAGGUAAUUAACUUAUUCAUAAUUUCAUAUGCUUGUCCUAAUUUUUUCUUUCUUUCUGGAGGAGAGAGCACAUAAAAUCUAUCCCUUAAGCAAAUUUCAAGUAUAUAAUAAUUAUUGUUAACCAUAGUCAUAUUGAUUUACAUUAGAUUUCUAGAACUUAUUCUAGUGGCAUAAAUGAAAACUUUGUAGCCUUUGACAAACACACCUCAUUUUCCCCUCCCACUUCACCCCAGCAACGACCAUUUUAAUCUCUGCUUCUAUCAGUUUGACUACAUUAGAUUCCAUCAAUGAUAUCCUGCAGUAUUUAUCAUUCUGCAUCUGGAUUGAGUUAGCAUUAUGUCCUCCAGGUUCAUUCAUGUUAUUGCAAUUGUAGGACUUUUUUCCUUUUUAAAGACUGGAUAAUGUUUCUCUGAAUUUCUCUAAUAUUUUUGGGUUGUUUCCAUAUCCUGGCAAUAGUUAAUACUGCUGCAAUUAACUUGAGUGUGCAGAUAUUUCUUAGAUACAGUGAUUUCAUUUCCUUUAGAUAUAUACCUAGGAAUGCAACUUUGGGAUCAUAGGUAAUUAUAUAUCUAGGUAGUUUUAUUUCUAAUUUUUUUGAGGAGCCUCCAUCUGUUUUCAAUAAUGGCUAUACCAAUUUACAUUCUUAGCAAUAGUAUAGAAUGGUUGCUUUUUACCUACAUCCUUGCAAAACAUCAUCUUUUGUAUUUUUUUUUAACAAUAGACAGUCUAACAGAUGUGAGGUGACAUCUCCCUGUAGUUUUUAUUUCCACUUCCCAAUCAGUGAUGUUGCACACCUUUUCAUUAACUGUUGGCCACUUGAAUGUUCUCUUUGUAGAAAUCGCUUUUGAGCAUUUGAAAACUUUUGAACAUUUUUAUUGGGGAGGUUUUUGCUAUAAUUGUAUGAGUUCCCCAUAUAUUUUGGAUGGUAACUUCUUAUCAGAUAAAUGAAUUGCAAAAUUUCUCUCAUUUGGUAUGUUGCCUUUUCAUUUUGCUGAUAGUUUCCAUCACUUUGCAGAAGCUUUUUAGUUUGAUGUAACUCCAUUUGUCUUUGUUUGCUUUUGUCAAUUGUGCUUCUGGUGUCAUAUUCAAAAAUUAUGGUUCAAUCUCCUCAGAAAAGAAAAUCAUGGACUUGGAGAAGAGACUUGUGGCUGCCUGAUGUGAGGGGGGAGGGAGUGGGAGGGAUCGGGAGCUUGGGCUUAUCAGACACAACUUAGAAUAGAUUUAGAAGGAGAUCCUGCUGAAUAGCAUUGAGAACUUUGUCUAGAUACUCAUAUUGCAACAGAAGAAAGGGUGGGGGAAAAAAUGUAAUUGUAAUGUAUACAUGUAAGGAUAACCUGACCCCCUUGCUGUACAGUGGGAAAAUAAAAAAAAAAAA